AUUCCUUGUAUAUACCAACUGAGUAUAGGAUCUGCGUUUGUUUCGUUGGUUUAACGUUGGAUUCCACUUAUUGAUGAAGUAGUUUAGACCAGAUGACACACACUUAAUUUCGACAGUUGAAGCUAAACAAACAUUUGUGUACGUGAUAUCUGAAAAACAUGCUGAGUGCAAGUUUCCCAGUGCAACGUGUGGUCGACUGGAUGAGAUACAUGUACAACAGGAUGCACGCAAUGAGCAUCCUAGUACAAAACCAUUAUCACGGAUUCAAUCAAUCCCUGGGUCUGUGUCCUGUUUUUCCACGAAUUCAACUUAUUCCACCAAAUUCAAUUUUUCCACAAAGUUCAUUUAUUCCAUCGUAUCCAAUUAUUCCACAAAGUUCAUUCAUUCCACCAAAUCAAUUUAUUCCACAAAAUUCACUUAUUCCACAAAACCCACUUAUUCAACAAUAUCCACACAUUCAACACUAUCCACUUAUUCCGCAUUAUGCAAGGUUUACACAAAAUCAUUAUAUUCCGCAAAUUCCAUUUUUUCAACAAAAUCAAUGUAUUCCUCUUUAUCAACGGAAUCUACAAAAUCCAUUCAUCCUACUUUAUCCACAUUAUCAAUUCGGAGGGCUUCUACCAAUAGGAUCAAUUCUGCCAGAGGCGCCGCAUUUAGAAGAAAG